rnacentral:tmRNA from 1 species
GGGGUCGACAUUGGAUUUGACAGCGAUAGCGGUAGUCAGGUGUCAGCAUGCAGAGGCUUGUAGUGUUCCUCUUAAAUCAAAUGCUACGAACAAUAAAUGACAACACGUCAUACGCACUUGCUGCUUAAUUAACUGAAUGUUAGUUGGCUUAAUCCGGCUGAAGUAUAGUAGGCCAGACAAGUACUUCUGAUGAACGGCCACCCUUUCGGUUCAUCGCUCAGAAGUUCAUCCUAUAGGGUUAGUGUUGCCGAUGGUUUUACCGCAACAUGAAACUAAAAAACCUAAGUAUGCGCGUUGGGUGUUCUUGUCCGGCCGCAUAUCGAAAAUCAACCAACGAACUAAGCAUGUAGAAAGCUUGAAAACUCGUCGUUUGGACGAGGGUUCGAACCCCUCCGACUCCACAA